rnacentral:lncRNA from 1 species
GCUUGAUCAUGGUGAAGUACAAAUUAUUUUUUUUUCAAACUAAACUGUCAUUAAAAGAGUAAGAGAGUACAUCAAGUUGGCAGCAACACAUACACUUUUUUCAGUUGGUUAAUAAAUGUAUUAAGAAAUGGGUGUUUUUAUAUUGGCCCUGUUAUAUGUCCUUGGUCAGUAAUAAUGGCCUCGGAUGUCUGUAAUGGCCCUCGGCGUUGCCUCGGCACAUUACAGACUUCCUCGACCAUUGUUACAGACCUUGGACAUAUAACAGGGCCAUUAUAAAAAUACCCAUUCAUUAAUACUAUAAUAUUGC